AUGGCGUCGAGCAGGACAGCAGCGAUGCUGGUCCUCGUGGCCGCGGUGCUGUGCCCUGCAGCCUUGUCCAAGCCGUCGGCGGCGUUCAUCUCUAUGCCCACCGACCACGUCGGUGGCCGUAUUCCUCCCGUCUCCCCCGCCGAUGGACUCGCCUUCGACUUCCAUGCCGACUCCUGCCCGCAGUUGCAGGACGUGGUGCGCUCCGCCAUGGAGACCGCGCUCCACAGCGAGAUCGCCCUCGCCGCCGGCCUCCUUCGCAUCUUCUUCCACGACUGCUUCCCUCAGGGCUGUGACGCGUCGGUCCUUCUGACGGGAGACGGCAGCGAGCUCCAGUUGCCGCCGAAUCUGACGCUCCAACCGCGGGCGCUGCAGCUCAUUGAGUCCAUCCGUGCCCAGGUGCACGCCGCCUGCGGACCCGUCGUCUCCUGCGCCGACAUCACGGCCCUCGCCACCCGCGAUGCCGUUGCCUUCUCCGGGGGUCAGGGCUACGACGUGCCGCUCGGCAGGCUCGACAGCCUCGCGCCGGCGCCGAGCUCGGCCGUCUUCGAUCUCCCCCAGGCCAGCUCCAACGCCUCCACGCUCAUCGACGUCUUCGAUACCCGCAACCUCGACAAUGUCGACCUCGUCGCGCUCUCAGGUGGCCACACCAUCGGGAAGGGCCACUGCAGCUCCUUCUCCAACCGCUUCUCCGAGGACUCCGACUUCGUCCGAAGCCUCGCCUCCAACUGCUCCAGCGACUUCAACCGGCUGCAGGACCUCGACGUCACCACCCCGGACGUGUUCGACAUCAAGUACUUCACCAACCUGCAACAGGGAAAGGGGGUGUUCACCUCCGACCAGAAGCUCACCGCGGACUGGCGCACCGAAUGGGUUGUCAACGGCUUUGCCGGGAACCACUGGUGGUUCUUCGGCCAGUUUGCUGCUUCCAUGACCAAGCUCGGGAAUCUCCAGGGGCCCCAAGGAAACGUCGGCGAGAUCCGUCGCAACAGCUGCUUCGUGCGCAAUGGACAGAGCAUCCUCACCACCACCAGCGACGAGGGGCUCGCCGCCUCUGCUUGA
rnacentral:rRNA from 1 species